ACGAGUCAAUAAUUUAUUAUCAGCAAUAUCGGAAUAAGGAUUCAAUCCUGUUGAUGCCUUCUGUACGUGAUAGUUGCAUUGUGACUGGGUUCUUUUGAUCGUCAAAUUGCCACGCAUUAUAUAAUAAAGGAAAGAUAUAAAACCAUAAAAGAGUAACACUCAUUAUAUAUAUAACAGUAUUCAACAUAAGAACAACCAACUAGGGGCCGGUGCUCAGAUGGUACGUACAAGCCAAAAUACAAACACUAAAAGAACAGAAGACUAAACCUCCGUUUCUUAUUCCCAACAUUUUAUCUAUUAAUGCUGGUCAGUAACCAGACACUUGAUUAAUUAGUUCUCAGUUGGAGGCUUGUGCGGUGGCUUUUGGGGCGGCUUAUGGGGUGGCAGGUGUUUUAAUGGUGGUUUCUCUCCCUUUCCUUUAUAUGAAUCCUCAACUAACUCUUCCUCAGCCAAAAGAUGUCCAUGUGGUGGCUUGUGGGGUGGCUUGUGUUUUGGUACUGGUUUCUGUCCCUUUCCUUUAUAUGAAUCCUCGGCUAGCUCUUCCUCAGCCAAAAGAUGUCCAUGUGGCGGCUUAUGCUUUGGUGGUGGCUUAUUACCCUUAUGUGAGUCCUCUACAACCUCUGUAGCUAAAAGACGUCUGAGGGGUGGUUUGUGCUCUGGUGGUGGCUUGUGCGGUGGUUUGUGCUCGGAUGAUGGCUUUUGAGGUGGAAAAUUCUUAGGAGGUGGUUUCUCUCCCUUACCCUUAAAUGGCGGUUUUUGGAAGUCCUCUACGCUAUCCUCGCUUAAUAGGUGCCCAUGUGGUGGCUUGUGUGGUGGUUUGUGCUCUGGUGUUGGCUUUUGAGGUGGAAAAUUCUUAGGUGGUGGCUUUUGAGGUGGAAAAUUCUUAGGAGGUGGGUUCUCUCCCUUACCCUUAAAUGGUGGUUUUUGGAAGUCCUCUUCGCUAUCCUCACUUAAUAGGUGACCAUGUGGUGGCUUGUGUGGGGGGUUGUGCUCUGGGGGUGGCUUUUGAGGUGGGAAAUUCUUAGGUGGUGGCUUUUGAGGUGGAAAAUUCUUAGGAGGUGGGUUCUCUCCCUUACCCUUAAAUGGUGGUUUUUGGAAGUCCUCUUCGCUAUCCUCACUUAAUAGGUGACCAUGUGGUGGCUUGUGUGGUGGGUUGUGGUCUGGUGUUGGCUUUUGAGGUGGAAAAUUCUUAGGAGGUGGUUUCUCUCCCUUACCCUUGUAAGGUGGAUCAUGGACAUCCUCUACAUUAUCCUCACUUAACAGAUGACCAUGUGGUGGCUUGUGCUGUGAGUGGUGGUGAUCAUAAUGAUCAGCUAAUGAAGAAGAAAUGGAGAGAAUCACGACUGCUCCAAUAAGGAGCAACACUCGCAAGUUUUUAGAAGAGAACAUGUUUGA
rnacentral:lncRNA from 1 species